CACCGGCGUACCGGCUAGAGUCACCCCUGUCAUCGACGGAGUUGCAGGAACCCGGUGUGAGUCCGGGGCGGUCCCGCCACUGUGACCACGUUCGCGUGGGAGUCAGGAACUGCUGCCGUCGUACUGCCCAC
rnacentral:ncRNA from 2 species